AUUGAACGCUAGCGGCAUGCCUAACACAUGCAAGUCGAACGGAGUGGCGGACGGGUGAGUAAUAUAGCGGAAUGUGCCCAAUAGCGGGGGCUAACUACUCGAAAACUUGGCUAAUACCGCAUACUAUUGGAUGGGCCCAUACUGGUUUAGCUAGUUGGUGGGGUAACGGCUCACCAAGGCAACGAUCCGUAGCUAGUCUGCGAGGAGGAUCAGCCACACUGGGACUGAGCCACGGACCAGACUCCUACGGGAGGCAGCAGUGGGGAAUAUUGGACAAUGGGGGAAAGCCUGAUCCAGCCAUGCCGCGUGUAUGAAGAAGGCUUUCGGGUUGUAAAGUACUUUUGGCAGAGAAGCGUUAUCUAAAGAAUAAGCACCGGCUAACUACGUGCCAGCAGCCGCGGUAAUUC
rnacentral:rRNA from 1 species